rnacentral:tRNA from 1 species
GAGGGUAGAGCUCAGUGGUAGAGCACGUGCUUAGCAUGCACAAGGUCCUGGGUUCGAUCCCCAGUACCUCCA